UACGUAGGGUGCAAGCGUUGUCCGGAAUUAUUGGGCGUAAAGAGCUCGUAGGCGGUUCGUCGCGUCGGCUGUGAAAACCCGGAGCUCAACUCCGGGCCUGCAGUCGAUACGGGCGGACUCGAGUUCGGCAGGGGAGACUGGAAUUCCUGGUGUAGCGGUGAAAUGCGUAGAGAUCCGGAGGAACACCAGUGGCGAAGGCGGCCGCCUGGACCUGACCUGACGCUGAGGCGCGAAGGCGCGGGGAGCGAACGGG
rnacentral:rRNA from 1 species